CACAAACGUUUCACUAACAUUAUAUACACAACCGAUGUAUAUAUAUAUAUAAAAUGCUUUCAAAAUGAAAGUUUUGGAAACUUUGCUGAUAAGGUGAUGCUUCUCUUCUCCAAUCUAUCCUCGUGCAUGCAUGACCAUUACCACCGUUUGCACAAGUACUACGCGGCCACCCCAGACAAUAAUCUGGUCAUGUCAGUUUGUAAUAGACUGCCCUCAAUCAAACACGUCGACGCCAUGUACAGUUUAGAUCGGUGAGUGUGACUUUUUGAUCGAUUUUUCCCAGUCAAAUAUCUGAAAGGAAAUCCCGAAAGCGAUUGAAAUGAGUUUGAGUGCAUCCAAGUAGAAUUGUGUUUGAUUAAAAGGCAGUCUAUUGCAAACUUCACGUCACAGUUUUAAUCUGGUUUGGCCGCAUAUAGUAAUGCAAACGGCGGUAAUCACCUAGCCUCUGGAACCCAGUGUGGAAACACUGAGAUCAUUUAAUGUUUUUGUCUAGCUAGCUAAUAGCAUAUCUAUUAACCAACAAAGCAUAUACUACGUAAAACUUUUAAGAGAAAAUACUUUGAGGUUUGUUUACAAGGCGAAGAAGCGAAGAUUCCAGAAGAAAAUGGAAAAAGCGUGUGAAAAAAGAUUUCUUCUGCCAAGGAACAGUUUCAACAACUAUAUUGUUCAGAUAAGUCAAAACAUUUACAACGUUAACUUCCGUUUCAUCAAAAGAGACAUUAAUUGUGGUAAAAUAACAAGGAAAUAGGGAUCGCCAUUGAAUAAAAAGUUGGAUUGUU